AAAUUGAAGAGUUUGAUCAUGGCUCAGAUUGAACGCUGGCGGCAGGCCUAACACAUGCAAGUCGAGCGGUAGCACAGAGAGCUUGCUCUCGGGUGACGAGCGGCGGACGGGUGAGUAAUGUCUGGGAAACUGCCUGAUGGAGGGGGAUAACUACUGGAAACGGUAGCUAAUACCGCAUAAUGUCGUAAGACCAAAGUGGGGGACCUUCGGGCCUCAUGCCAUCAGAUGUGCCCAGAUGGGAUUAGCUAGUAGGUGGGGUAACGGCUCACCUAGGCGACGAUCCCUAGCUGGUCUGAGAGGAUGACCAGCCACACUGGAACUGAGACACGGUCCAGACUCCUACGGGAGGCAGCAGUGGGGAAUAUUGCACAAUGGGCGCAAGCCUGAUGCAGCCAUGCCGCGUGUGUGAAGAAGGCCUUCGGGUUGUAAAGCACUUUCAGCGGGGAGGAAGGCGGUGAGGUUAAUAACCUCAUCGAUUGACGUUACCCGCAGAAGAAGCACCGGCUAACUCCGUGCCAGCAGCCGCGGUAAUACGGAGGGUGCAAGCGUUAAUCGGAAUUACUGGGCGUAAAGCGCACGCAGGCGGUCUGUCAAGUCGGAUGUGAAAUCCCCGGGCUCAACCUGGGAACUGCAUUCGAAACUGGCAGGCUAGAGUCUUGUAGAGGGGGUAGAAUUCCAGGUGUAGCGGUGAAAUGCGUAGAGAUCUGGAGGAAUACCGGUGGCGAAGGCGGCCCCCUGGACAAAGACUGACGCUCAGGUGCGAAAGCGUGGGGAGCAAACAGGAUUAGAUACCCGGUAGUCCACGCCGUAAACGAUGUCGAUUUGGAGGUUGUGCCCUUGAGGCGUGGCUUCCGGAGCUAACGCGUUAAAUCGACCGCCCGGGAGUACGGCCGCAAGGUUAAAACUCAAAUGAAUUGACGGGGCCCGCACAAGCGGUGGAGCAUGUGGUUUAAUUCGAUGCAACGCGAAGAACCUUACCUGGUCUUGACAUCCACAGAACUUUCCAGAGAUGGAUUGGUGCCUUCGGGAACUGUGAGACAGGUGCUGCAUGGCUGUCGUCAGCUCGUGUUGUGAAAUGUUGGGUUAAGUCCCGCAACGAGCGCAACCCUUAUCCUUUGUUGCCAGCGGUCCGGCCGGGAACUCAAAGGAGACUGCCAGUGAUAAACUGGAGGAAGGUGGGGAUGACGUCAAGUCAUCAUGGCCCUUACGACCAGGGCUACACACGUGCUACAAUGGCAUAUACAAAGAGAAGCGACCUCGCGAGAGCAAGCGGACCUCAUAAAGUAUGUCGUAGUCCGGAUUGGAGUCUGCAACUCGACUCCAUGAAGUCGGAAUCGCUAGUAAUCGUAGAUCAGAAUGCUACGGUGAAUACGUUCCCGGGCCUUGUACACACCGCCCGUCACACCAUGGGAGUGGGUUGCAAAAGAAGUAGGUAGCUUAACCUUCGGGAGGGCGCUUACCACUUUGUGAUUCAUGACUGGGGUGAAGUCGUAACAAGGUAACCGUAGGGGAACCUGCGGUUGGAUCACCUCCUUACCUUAAAGAA
rnacentral:rRNA from 1 species